UAAGGGUUGCUAAGAUGAGAAGAAUCGUUUGCCUGGAGCAGCCGGAGGAAAAGAGUGGAAGACUAAAAGAAGGAGCUGGGAAAAAACGUUCUGAUGGCUAUUUCAUUCACUGAAAAACACAGGAGAUACCUUGAAGAGACUUUGCGGAACUUGAUGCCUCUGUUCAGAUUGGCAGUGAAAAACUGAAAUACCACAGAUGAAGAGUGAGUUCAGCUGGAUGGAAUGUGAUGAUGACUGAGAACUUCCAAAACUUUCCAGUUUCCCAAAUGGUGACAAGAACCUGCUGGGCCUGUGAAGACAGCUGUUGCUCUUGGUGGAGAGGAUGG